GCAGCCUUGCAAGAAAGCUGCUGAAAAGGUCUGUGGUGGGCUCAUGCAGAAGGCUGAGCAUCAGGAGGAGUUCACAUGCUGGCAAAGUUGAUCCAGCCUUGGAAAUGAAAGAUUGUGGAUGGCAGCAGCAGACUCUUCUGGAGAGACUCCAGGCUCAGGAGCUUGGUCCCAGGCUGGCGGAUGCUCCUGCAGAGGGACCUGCUACUCUUGCUGGAGACUGACAGAUGCUGCCAUGGCCCCUGCUCUGCGCUGUUUGAUGGAUGAAGGUUAUAGCUCCACGGGGGUUUCCAGCGUGGUCCUGGUGUUCACUCCUUCUUUGUUCAACUGAUGUCCUCAGAUGGCAACAGAUGGCCUUUGUGCUCUGACCCUCUUGCUUCUCUGACCAGUGACUUUUAAGUGCCAUCCAUCUUCCCCUGGGUUUGACAGAGUGAAGAGCAAGCAGGCUCAUGCCAGAGGGGAGAUUUUUACUCAUCCUGUGCUGGGAUUUUGUGGAAGAAGUGAGCGUACAGUGUUACCAAUAUCAUUGAGUCUUGGCACUAACCCUCAAUGAGCAUCAUGGUGGCAGUAGACAUGUCUUUUGCUUUCCUCCACUUCCACUGCCCUUGGUAUCUGUUGCUUUUGGUAGCUGGGGCAAGUGGGGUUGCACCUCUGAGAUGGUUUGUCAUUUCCCUUGAGAAAAGAAGUGUGAGGUCAGGGCAUGUCCCAUCGAUAUGGGAAAGCUCCAGCUGAGCCUGCCUGUGUGCAUCGUGCUGAACCCCGCUGGUAAAUGAUGGCAUUUGGGUCCUGAGAUGAGCCUGUUGCUCUCUGUGGGUGCUUUUCAUGCUGUGUGUAAUCUAAGGGACAACUCCAGAGAUCAGCGAUGAGACAGCAGAGCAUGCCGUGCACUGAAGUACAAAAUAAGGUAAACUAUAGCUCCCUGCUGUGCUGUAAUGUGCCCAUCAGCUGGUCUGAGGAGGAUGGUGGUAUCCCCUGUUUAUAGAUGUGGAGCUGUGUCGUAGGCAGAAAGCUGUUUAAGUUAAUCCAGGGAACUUCUGACAGGUUAAGGAGUUAAAUUGAUGGUGCACUGAAGAAAGACCUGGGCAAGGUGACCUUAGCUAGGGCUCAAACUGUGGUGUCUUCUGUCAGCUGUAGAUAAAGUCAGAUGCAGAUAAAGUCAGAUGCCUGCAUGUGUGGUAAUGCUUAACAUCUACCAGUCCCAUUGCAUCCCUAAGUGAGGACAUUCAAUGCCUGCAGAGUAGCAUUUAUAUGAGUAACUCUUUGCACUUCUAUUUGCUGUGCAUGUGUAAAAAUUAAGAGCUAUUUUUAAUGAAAACUGGACCUAAGAGUUGCAUGUCAAAGGAACUGUAGAAAGUGGAGUUUAAAGGGCUUUCAAGAGGUUACCUGGUCCAGCCCCUAAUCCAUUUGGGAUCAGCUCCACUUUUGUCAUACUGAGAGAUUUUUGUGUAACUUAUUCUUACAGGGUUUCAGUGAUGGGAGUUUCAAACCUCUAUUGAUAACCCGUUGAACUGAACACCCUGACUUACUCUACUGGGUAAAUGGGAUUGGGAUCCCAGCUGGGUGGGAAAUUAUCUGCGCUGUGACUGGGGAGAUCUAUGUGGUGGAGGGCUGCCUUGUGUGUCUGUAGCCACGUGUGUGCGCCAAUGCUGGGUGUUGCUUGGGAGAUGCCCCUGCCCUCCUAGGAAAACUUGUGCCUGCAAUGGAAAAAGAAGCUGUGACUAAUAAGUGAUGUGCUAAUGAGGAAGAAGGGAUUUCUGUUUGUCAAUAACUCCUGCAUGUCUGCAUCUCCAAAAAGGGGGGAUGACUUGGUCCUAAGAGCAGGUCCCCAGGGGAACUUGUUAGUUAUAAUGUCCCCUUGACCCCAAAUAUCUUCCUGUAACAGCUAUGUUUAAAAUGUGCCAGGCAGCUUGUAAUGUAACGUGUGCUCUACUUACUGCCGAUGAUGCGUAUUUUUAAAUAAAGCCACCACAUGACGCUAAA